rnacentral:ribozyme from 15 species
UCUCAAAGAUGAGAGCAAAAAUGAAAAAGAUGAUGCCGUAUCCUCAUCUUCCUUGUCAUCUUUGCUUUGUGUAUCACUUUGGUUCUUUGCAUUGUUUCUAAAUUUAAUCAAUGUCUGCGUGAUAACAACAGCUGGCAUUUGGAAAAUAAAUGUUUCACUGCACAUAAG